rnacentral:lncRNA from 1 species
GUUAUUUUGAGGUGAUAUUUGGCAGAAAUUUUAGGGAGGGAGAACGGAGUCAGUCACUGGACUAUCACUGCCAUUACUGUAUUCUCUCUGCAGCUAUCUCUGCACCCUGGGGAGCAUGGUGGAAGUGGUAGAACUUGUUUUGAAAAGCAAACAUAAGAGAAGUCCCCAGGCUGCACCUGACAAUACUAGAGCCCUCAGUUCUCUGCUUGCUAUCACCAGAGGCACAUGGGGACUCGGACAGCAGGGCCUAAUCUCACCCACUGGGAGAAGGGGUUGCCAAUCACCCGAGCAGUUACUGGUUACCUCUGGAGGUAAUGGAUUCUCCCUUACUGGAAGUUUUUAAGUAAAUUGAAGGUAAUAACUUGUUGGAAAUGAGCCUGACUCCCUGCCUGCUUCCUCCCUGCGUUUCUCUCUCCUUCCUCUUUUUCCCUCCCCC